UACGAAGGGUGCAAGCGUUACUCGGAAUUACUGGGCGUAAAGCGUGCGUAGGCGGUUCGUUAAGUCUGUCGUGAAAGCCCUGGGCUCAACCUGGGAAUUGCGAUGGAUACUGGCGAGCUAGAGUACGGUAGAGGAUGGUGGAAUUCCCGGUGUAGCGGUGAAAUGCGUAGAGAUCGGGAGGAACACCCGUGGCGAAGGCGGCACUCUGGGACGGUACUGACGCUGAGACGCGAAAGCGUGGGGAGCGAACAGG
rnacentral:rRNA from 1 species